CAGCCGCCGCGGUAAUACGGAGGGAGCUAGCGUUGUUCGGAAUUACUGGGCGUAAAGCGCGCGUAGGCGGUUACUCAAGUCAGAGGUGAAAGCCCGGGGCUCAACCCCGGAACUGCCUUUGAAACUAGGUGACUAGAAUCUUGGAGAGGUCAGUGGAAUUCCGAGUGUAGAGGUGAAAUUCGUAGAUAUUCGGAAGAACACCAGUGGCGAAGGCGACUGACUGGACAAGUAUUGACGCUGAGGCGCGAAAGCGUGGGGAGCAAACAGGAUUAGAUACCCCAGUAGUCCCUGUCUCUUAUAA
rnacentral:rRNA from 1 species